UAGGGAAUCUUCGGCAAUGGGGGGAACCCUGACCGAGCAACGCCGCGUGAGUGAAGAAGGUUUUCGGAUCGUGAAGCUCUGUUGUUAAGGAAGAACGAGUGUGAGAAUGGAAAGUUCAUACUGUGACGGUACUUAACCAGAAAGGGACGGCUAACUACGUGCCAGCAGCCGCGGUAAUACGUAGGUCCCGAGCGUUGUCCGGAUUUAUUGGGCGUAAAGCGAGCGCAGGCGGUUAGAUAAGUCUGAAGUUAAAGGCAGUGGCUCAACCAUUGUAGGCUUUGGAAACUGUUUAACUUGAGUGCAGAAGGGGAGAGUGGAAUUCCAUGUGUAGCGGUGAAAUGCGUAGAUAUAUGGAGGAACACCGGUGGCGAAAGCGGCUCUCUGGUCUGUAACUGACGCUGAGGCUCGAAAGCGUGGGGAGCGAACAGG
rnacentral:rRNA from 1 species